rnacentral:rRNA from 1 species
UAACCUUACCGGGGAUCACUCCUCGU